CCGCUAAUACGACAUCGUUCGGGUACGUCAAGAAUCGUAUGAAGGUUGUGAUUGAUCAAUAAAGGAUUCGUCACUCUUAGAUAGUAGGAGAUUAUGAUCUGCGUUUCAUCCAAUUAAGUCAAUGAUCAAAUCCUUGGCCAAGGUGUACUCAUAAGUCGAAAAGGAGUUUUCGAUUUAUAUUGACUUAAUAGUGGAGUGAAAGAUAUGAUCGAUGAUCGAGAUUGACACAACUCCAUAUCUCGUAAUUGAUCGGAUCAUAUUGACGAAGGGAUUAUAGUUUCACGGUAAACGAACGAAUUUGGUUUUGUCAUACCACGUGACAUUUCCCGUCACAUGUAUUGCCCUGACACAUUGCUAGAUGUCAAUCAGGGACGGCGAAUGUGAAUUGACGAUAAAUUAAAAGGGUGUUUUAAUUUAUCAAUUUUGAUUAGAUCAAAAUAAUAUUUCACGUCGUUAGGCAUCGUGGUCGGGAACCUAAUGGGUCACACACAAAA
rnacentral:lncRNA from 1 species